rnacentral:sRNA from 1 species
GCACGAAUCUCCUCCUUUGAUAUGCUC